rnacentral:rRNA from 1 species
GAACCCUGAUCCAGCCAUGCCGCGUGUGUGAAGAAGGCCUUAUGGUUGUAAAGCACUUUAAGCGAGGAGGAGGCUCUUUUGGUUAAUACCCAAGAUGAGUGGACGUUACUCGCAGAAUAAGCACCGGCUAACUCUGUGCCAGCAGCCGCGGUAAUACAGAGGGUGCGAGCGUUAAUCGGAUUUACUGGGCGUAAAGCGUGCGUAGGCGGCUUUUUAAGUCGGAUGUGAAAUCCCGGGGCUCAACCUCGGAACUGCCUUUGAUACUGGAAGUCUGGAGUCCGAGAGAGGUGAGUGGAACUCCGAGUGUAGAGGUGAAAUUCGUAGAUAUUCGGAAGAACACCAGUGGCGAAGGCGGCUCACUGGCUCGGUACUGACGCUGAGGUGCGAAAGCAUGGGGAGCAAACA